GGGGUUAUAGCUCAGUGGUAGAGCAUUUGACUGCAAAUAAAGAUACCACUUUAAAAAAAAUAAUUCCC
rnacentral:tRNA from 1 species